AGUGCGUCUUAAGCAUGCAAGUCAAACGGAAUGUAGCAAUACAUUUAGUGGCGAACGGGUGAGUAACGCGUGGAUGAUCUACCUAYGAGAUGGGGAUAACUAYUAGAAAUAGUAGCUAAUACCGAAUAARGUCAAUYAAUUUGUUAAUUGAUGAAAGGAAGCCUUUAAAGCUUCGCUUGUAGAUGAGUCUGCGUCUUAUUAGUUAGUUGGURGGGUAAAUGCCUACCAAGRCGAUGAUAAGUAACCGGCCUGAGAGGGUGAACGGUCACACUGGAACUGAGAUACGGUCCAGACUCCUACGGGAGGCAGCAGCUAAGAAUCUUCCGCAAUGGGCGAAAGCCUGACGGAGCGACACUGCGUGAAUGAAGAAGGUCGAAAGAUUGUAAAAUUCUUUUAUAAAUGAGGAAUAAGCUUUGUAGGAAAUGACAAAGYGAUGACGUUAAUUUAUGAAUAAGCCCCGGCUAAUUACGUGCCAGCAGCCGCGGUAAUACGUAAGGGGCGAGCGUUGUUCGGGAUUAUUGGGCGUAAAGGGUGAGUAGGCGGAUAUAUAAGUCUAUGCAUAAAAUACCACAGCUCAACUGUGGARCUAUGUUGGAAACUAUAUGUCUAGAGUCUGAUAGAGGAAGUUAGAAUUCCUGG
rnacentral:rRNA from 1 species